rnacentral:rRNA from 1 species
CUGGCUUCAGGUUCGGGACAACAGUUGGAAACGGCUGCUAAUACCGGAUGUGCCUUAGGGUGAAAGAUUUAUCACCUGAAGAUGAGCUCGCGUCUGAUUAGCUAGUAGGUGUGGUAAGAGCGCACCUAGGCGACGAUCAGUAGCUGGUCUGAGAGGAUGAUCAGCCACACUGGGACUGAGACACGGCCCAGACUCCUACGGGAGGCAGCAGUGGGGAAUUUUCCGCAAUGGGCGAAAGCCUGACGGAGCAAUACCGCGUGAGGGAGGAAGGCUCUUGGGUUGUAAACCUCUUUUCUCAGGGAAGAAUAAUGACGGUACCUGAGGAAUAAGCAUCGGCUAACUCCGUGCCAGCAGCCGCGGUAAUACGGAGGAUGCAAGCGUUAUCCGGAAUGAUUGGGCGUAAAGCGUCCGCAGGUGGCAAUGUAAGUCUGCUGUCAAAGCGUCUGGCUCAACCAGAUAAAGGCAGUGGAAACUACAUAGCUAGAGUAAGGUAGGGGUAGAGGGAAUUCCUGGUGUAGCGGUGAAAUGCGUAGAGAUCAGGAAGAACACCGGUGGCGAAAGCGCUCUGCUGGACCUAAACUGACACUGAGGGACGAAAGCUAGGGGAGCGAAUGG